rnacentral:rRNA from 1 species
UACGUAUGGAGCGAGCGUUGUCCGGAAUCAUUGGGCGUAAAGGGUACGUAGGCGGUUAGAAAAGUUAGAAGUGAAAGGCUAUAGCUCAACUAUAGUAAGCUUUUAAAACUGUUUAACUUGAGAGAUGGAAGGGAAAGUGGAAUUCCAUGUGUAGCGGUGGAAUGCGUAGAUAUAUGGAGGAACACCAGUGGCGAAGGCGACUUUCUGGUCUGUUACUGACACUGAGGCUCGAAAGCGUGGGGAGCAAACAGG